rnacentral:lncRNA from 1 species
CUUCCCUCCCAGGGAGGACAGCAGAAAAGAGGCCCCAGCUGCUGCCCACUCCUGCCCACAGCCUUGGUGUUCCUGAUCCAGCACGUUGCCAUCAUCCUCGCCCCAGAUACCAGCCAAGGAGGCUGGAAGGCCAACCAAGCUCCAACCACUGGGCGUCCCAUCGCAGCGUGGCUUUACUGCUAACGUUGGCAUUGCUGUUUGUGCCAGGGGUUCUGUUCAAAACCAAGCUCUUAGAAGAAUUUGGAGGAAAUUAUGACUGCAACCAUGUCUUUAAGCAGCUAACCCUGGAGAGAGAAUGGACCAAGCUAAACAUUAACCAUUGCUGCUGGUAGGCCUCUGACAGCACAAGGUGGUGAGCCUGUCUUUCAGAAACCAGCUAGCUGGGUUCAAAACCAAGCCCAUCAUGUAGAAGCUAUGUGACCUUGAAGAAGUUAAUUAGACUCUCUGAACCUUUGGUUCUUUAUCCACCAAUAAAAAUAAUCUCACCUACCACCCAGGGUUGUAGGUCCAAGUGUAUAAUGUACAAAUGAAUAAAUUAAGACAGUCUCA